rnacentral:rRNA from 2 species
UCUGGUGUCAAUAGCGUGAGGGUCACACCCGGUCCCAUCCCGAACCCGGAAGUUAAGCCUCACAGCGCCGAUGAUACUGCGGGGGCGACCCCGUGGGAAAGUAGGACGAUGCCAGAU